UGUAGGAGUGAGCCUGCUCGCGAUAGCAGUGUGUCAGUUUGCAUUUCUUCAUCUGACACACCGCUAUCGCGAGCAGGCUCACUCCUACA
rnacentral:antisense_RNA from 2 species